rnacentral:lncRNA from 1 species
GCUAAAAUUGCCUGACAAGUUCCUUGAAGUAACCUUUGCUCAGUAAGGUGUCUGGCCAGUGGGAUUUACAGCAUUUUCCUUUCUAAUUGCUAUGUACAAAUAUGCGCAUCACUGAACUGGAAGACCCCAUUUGGAUCACUAUAAUACUAGAAAUACUUAAUACUUAAAAUACUCUUAAAUAGUGCGGAAACAGUAUUUAAGAAUUUAUUGAAAAAAUGAUUUAUAUCCUUCUAUUGAUAUACAGGAUGAAUUCGUCAUCUCUACGACAGACCUUCCUCCCUCUACCCUUCUUUAUCUACAGAGCAGAGUGGAGAACCCACUUCAGCAUCUUUACUUGGGCAAAUAUUUACGGUGAACUGAGCUCUGUCCAGCAUCCCUGUCAUACCCAGGCAAAAUCUUUAUUUUCAGAGGAAAUAAAUCAUUAUGGAUUUGAAAGAAAUAAAUCACCUGGGACCAGGAACUAGUCAACACACUGCCAAAUUUCCACUUUAGAGACCAUAUGCCUAAAAGAAAGAAGGACUCCUCUUACCUGAGACUGAACAAUACUUUCCAAACUCUCUGGAGUCUGGAUAUAUAGUUGAUGUUUGCAAAUGGCUAUUUGUAUCAGAAUUUUAACAGAAAGGAUC